AGAAGCGGAAGAGAGCAAUAACAAAAGGUGGAAGCGAAAGUCGAAGCCCGGCACAGAAAGCUUCUUGGUAUAAACAGAAGCAGUCGGGGGAGGAGCGCUAGCCCGGCCAGUCGGCUCAGGAAGUUCCAGCUCGUACUCCAAAGAAACCCCAUACUGAAUCCUAAUCAGUGAGAGUUCCUCUGAAGUCAGAGAGCUGGGGAUGGUGUCUGGUACAAAGAUCGGACAAGAUUCAUCUACAGAACUAAGGUUUUGGAGAGCUGGGACGGACGAACUCCUAGAACUGCUAG
rnacentral:lncRNA from 1 species